UACGGUAGGUGGCGAGCGUUGUCCGGAUUUACUGGGCGUAAAGAGCGCGCAGGCGGCUGGUCAAGUCCGAUGUGAAAGCUCCCGGCUUAACUGGGAAAUUGCAUCGGAAACGUGAUCGGCUGGAAGGUGGGAGAGGGUAGCGGAAUUCCUGGUGUAGCGGUGGAAAUGCGUAGAUAUCAGGAAGAACACCCGGUGGCGAAGGCGGCUAUCUGGUCCGUUACUGGACGCUGAGGCGCGAAAGCCAGGGGAGCAAACAGG
rnacentral:rRNA from 1 species